rnacentral:rRNA from 1 species
AUAAAUCAAAUAAAUCAAAACUUUCAACAACGGAUCUCUUGGUUCUGGCAUCGAUGAAGAACGCAGCAAAAUGCGAUAAGUAAUGUGAAUUGCAGAAUUCAGUGAAUCAUCGAAUCUUUGAACGCACAUUGCGCCCGCCAGUAUUCUGGCGGGCAUGCCUGUUCGA